rnacentral:rRNA from 1 species
UACGUAGGGUGCGAGCGUUGUCCGGAAUUAUUGGGCGUAAAGAGCUUGUAGGCGGUUUGUCGCGUCUGCCGUGAAAUUUCGAGGCUCAACCUCGAACUUGCGGUGGGUACGGGGCAGACUAGAGUGUGGUAGGGGAGACUGGAAUUCCUGGUGUAGCGGUGAAAUGCGCAGAUAUCAGGAGGAACACCGAUGGCGAAGGCAGGUCUCUGGGCCACUACUGACGCUGAGAAGCGAAAGCAUGGGGGAGCGAACAGG